GAAGAAAGGAAACUUACCAUUUCCUCUUGAUAGUGGCUUUAUGGGAAUGAGAAUUUAAAAAGGGGAUUAAGAAGAGAUUAGGCCAUUUGGCCGUGACCUAGAGAGGAGAUAGAGAGAGAGAGGAGGCGAGCUAGAGAGAGAGAAAGCAAGGGCUGCAAUAUUUUCUAGAGAAGAAGAAGAAGAAAAGAAAGAGAAGGAGAAGAAGAAGAGGGUUUCGAACCCUAGGUGACAAGAGGUUUUCUUGCUAUUGUGUUCUUGAUUUUACAAUCAAGAGAGGCUCGUUGAACGAUUGUGAAAUUCUUAGCUUGGACCUGAGGUAGCAAAUAGGAUUUCUUUAUGGCACGCGUGGUGACGUGAGGAGUUCUAUCAUCAUGGGGUGUAUGGCAUGGGGUAAUCCGAUGGACGGAACAACAAUCAACGUAGAACGCCAUUUAAAUUAUGUUUUGUUUUUAAGAGACUUUCCUAAAUUAUCAGUGGGACUCAGUUAUUUAAUUUUUGGUUUCUUUGAACUUUGCAUAAAAAUCUAUGUUUUAUUUUAAAACUUAUGGCGCCAACUUGCAUGGUUUUAAACAAGUCCCCCUGAGACUUUGAUAAUGAAUGGUAUUCUUUUAUAAACUA